rnacentral:misc_RNA from 1 species
AUUAUUUUAUGAUGCAGUUUCCUAAAUCAAAUUUCAAUUAUUCAAUUGAUGUUUUUGAUAAAAAAAUUAAAAAGAAAAUUGAAUAAUUACGAAGAAAUUAGAACCUACGGUUUAGGAUGAUUUUCCUAAAUUUUAAUUUCAAACUACAUACUUGGAUAUGCAGACUUGAAAUUGAGCUCGUUUAUUGACAUUUAUACUUGAUAGAAAUGAUAAUAAUGGAUGGAUAUGUGUAUUUAAAGUCAUUUUCGAUGAUUUCUUUUUAUAACCCUGUAGCGGCCAUCUUGAAGCGCAGCAAAUCAAUUCAAUAAUUUGAAAAAAUCAAUUGGAUAAUUAAAAUUUCUAUCUAGCGCACUAUAUCAUGAAAUAAUCUUUAAUUCGGAACUAAAAUUUGUAAAAAAAAAUAUUAAGUCGCAGAGAAAUUAGAAACUAACGAUAAUAUUAAUAUUUGAAAAAAAUAUAGAACAAACAUUUAGUGACAUCUUAUAAUUUACUACAUAAUCGUAUGUUGAUAAAAACGAAAACAUUCAAAAUACACGCAUGCCGGUUUUCUUCAUAAAAAUAACGUGAGAGGUUAAUAAUUACUUGUAUUAUAUAAAUAUUAAUAAAUGUUUAAUAAUCAAUAAAAAUUAAAUAAGAAAUAUCAAAUGUUAUCUGUGCGGUUAUGUACUCGGCUUGCUAAAGCUUUUCCAACGCGAUCUGUAACAUGUCAAGCUCAAUUUAUACAAAGAUUUGUACAUAACGUGAAAAGAAGAGGUUAUCCAAGAUUUAUUGUUCAUAUACAAAGACAACAAAUUCAUUAUAAAAAUGAUGUAAAUAACAAUAAUACAUUUAAUUCAAACAAUAAUUAUUAUUAUAAUAGACGUCAAAAUAUCCGCCGAGUAAAUGAAUUGUUAUCUUACAUAGAGUUUUUGAAAAUUAAUUUAAAAAAUUCUAUAGUUGAUCAUGCAAUUUUGCUUGAAGCAUUAAAAAUUUUUGCUGCAUUAAAUGUAAAAGUUGAUGAUUCAAUCAAUAUUUUUUUACUCAGUUGUUGUGGAGAAAUUUUGCCCAAUGUUAAACCAGAAGUAAGACAGAAACUUCUCUAUGACGUGUGGAAUUCAUUAAAAGAAAAACAUUACACCUUUUCUUUUGAUUAUUAUCACACAUUUUUGAAUGUUUGUGCUCAAAAUUGUGAAGAUAUAAAACCUCAAGAAUUUAUUGAGAACAUGACUCUACAACCCAAUAAAGAUACUUAUAUUCAGUUAUUAAAUGUAUCUGCUAGUAGUGGUAAUUUAAAUAGUACUGUUUUUAUCCUAAAGAAGUUAAAAGAACUUGAGUAUUCAUUAAAUUUAGAUGUAAUAAAUCUAUUGAUAAAAUUUUAUUCAAAAAUCAAUGACAUGGCCUCUGCAAGAUUUGCUUUAAACAGUGUUAUUGAUUCACACACUGAAGUACCAAAUGAACUUUUUGGAAGUUUAGCAUGCGGUUAUGCACAACAAGGUGAUGUUGAUCAUGUAAUUGAAUUAUUAGAGCAACAUUCAAUAUCCACAAAACAAUUAUUACAAAUUAUGAAGAACUUAAGUUUGGCUAAUAAAGGUGAAACUAUUGAAAAUAUUUUUAAAUAUAUUCCAGUGAAAGAAAUGCUUACAGAUCCAUUGCUUAUAAAUUUUAUAAUCGAACUCACUUAUCUUCAUAAAAUCGAUGAUUGUCUUUUAAUACUGAACUUUUUUUCUACGAAAGGUUUUACUCAUGAUAUUCUUCAUGCAUCAAAAUAUUUUUUAAAAACUUUGGCAAGUAGUGAAACUUAUGUACCCACAAUUUUAAGUAUUAGCAACAAGUUUUCUGAGAACUUUGGAUUCACUACGGUGGCUCUAUCAUUAUUACAAGGAGCUCUGAUUUCAAAUAAAACAGAUCUAUCAUUUAUACUAUUAGAAAAAAUGGCAAAAAAUAAUGUAGAAAUCAGACCACAUUAUUACUGGCCAUUGCUAAUACAAAUUUUUAAACAAAAGGGUGAACCAGGUAUUUAUGAAGUUAUUGAUCAUUCAGUACAAAUGGAGGUCAAAUUAGAUUGGACUACAUUAUCUGAUUAUAUAAUCCCUUAUAUAAGUAUUUGGGAUCCAAUGGAAACAUUGAGAAAAUUGACAAACCACGGAGUACAUGAAUAUAUUGUAGUUACUCCGUUAAUUAAAUAUUAUUUAGAGCAUGAGCAAAUACCUAAUGCUUCGAUAUUAUGUCAAAAAAUGUAUAGAAUGACUGAUUUCAAUGAAAUAUUGCCCUCACUUGUUCAAGCAUAUAGAAUCAACAAGAAAGCUAUUGAUGUGAUUGUACAAAUUUUAUUAUUACCUGAUAAAACUAAAGAUUAUCCUGGAAAAUUUCUCUUCCAAGCAGUAAGUCAAAGACUGUUUCAUAAAAAUAUUGAAGAGUUUGAAAAGUUGUUAAACAUUUAUAAGGCAAACAAUAUUUCUAUAUCUAGUUUUUCAGCAAAUGCAAUUGAAAAUUAUGCAUUUAGUGCAGAUGUUGAAAAAAUCAAAAUAUUAUUUAAAGCUGCCAACAUAAUAAAUAAUGAAGACAAAUCACCAGUUUCUAACGCUGAACGAAUAUCGGGUAUGGUCCAUCCUCAGCACAUGAAUCAGGAACAACUAGACUGUCAUUUAACAGAAUUGAAAUCUAAAGGUCUCAAUUUUCGAGGAGCACUGAGAAAAUUUUUUUUAACAUGUGCUAAAAAUGGUGAUCUUAAGAAACUGGAAGAAAUUAAAAUGGAAAUGGAAAAGUAUGGAAUGCAAUUGACACCAGGCAUGAAAUCAUGUUUGUUAGAAUUGUAUGCUCGAAAUGAGAAAGCAAUUGAAGCCUACUAUCUUAUUUUGGACUUAAAAAAAGAUCAUCCAGAUUGGACACUAGAUUCUUCUAAGAUCUUGAUUACAGCAACUUCAUUACUUAAUCACAAAGAAGUAGAAAAAGCUCUAAAAUUAAUAAAAGAAACUGAGGUAGUUUCUUUUCCAAUGCAACGGCAGUGUUGGAAAUUGUUAGAUGUAGCUACGCAGUUGAAGAAACCACAAUUAGUUGAAUUACUAUUAAAUAAUUUGGUCAAGAAAGGAUUCUGUUCAAUUGACAAUACCGUAUUAGGACCUCUUGUACGAGUACAUUUGUUAAGAAAUGAUUUAACAUCGGCUGUUGAAACUUUUAAAAUUCUCAAGAAUCGACAGAAGAUUUUUAUGCUAUGCUCGAUGACGUUCUCGAGAUAGUUGCAAAGAUUCAUAGUCGAGAGCAAGUUGAUCACGAUCUGAUGAUAGCAUAUGCACGAUUUGAUAUGUUAAAUCAAUUAAAAUUAAUUUUACAGAAGCUACAAGGAAAACACAUCCAUUUUAAAAGAAUUGUAGGUGGAAUGGAAGAAAAAGUAAAACAAAAAGUAUUAUUAACACUUCUUGACGCUGCUCGUGACAUACAUGGAAUAAAUCGCCCAUUAAUUUGUGAC